UACGAAGGGGGCUAGCGUUGUUCGGAAUUACUGGGCGUAAAGGGCGCGUAGGCGGAUAGUUUAGUCAGAGGUGAAAGCCCAGGCUCAACCCUGGAAUUGCCUUUGAUACUGGCUAUCUUGAGUUCGGGAGAGGUGAGUGGAACUCCGAGUGUAGAGGUGAAAUUCGUAGAUAUUCGGAAGAACACCAGUGGCGAAGGGCGAACUCACUGGACCAUUACUGACGCUGAGGCACGAAAGCUAGGGGAGCAAACAG
rnacentral:rRNA from 1 species